rnacentral:rRNA from 1 species
AAACAAUUUAGAUUUGAUUGAAAAAUUUAAACAAAAUGAAAAUGCAUGAAAUAAAACUAUUCAGUAUAUAAAAUUUUUAACAAAAUUGUAAAAAUCAUUUUUAAAAUUAGUUAAUUAUAGUGCCAGCAUCCGCGGUUAAACAUAAAAUAAAAAAAUUUUAAUCAAUUUUUAGUACUUAAAAUAUCACCUUACUAGUAUAAUAAAAGGUAAAAUCUAAAUACAACAAACCAAUUAAAUUCUAAAAAAAAUAGGAUUAGAUACCCUAGUAUUCAAAAAAAGUAAAAUAAUUUGGGGUAAUAAAAGUAAAAUCUUCAAACCCAAAAAUCAUGGCAGUAUAAAUAAAUUUAAAGAAACUUGUUUAUAAAAUGAUAAAACACAAAAACCUUACUUAAUUUCAAGUUUUUAUACCACCGUUUUUAAAUAAAAAACAUAUUUUAAAUUUUUAAGUUCUUAAAUCAAUUCAGGUCUAGGCAAAACAAUAAUUAAGUUUAAAUGAGUUUCAAUAAAAAAAUUUCACAAUAAAUUAUAAAAAUAAAGAAGAAUUUAAAAGUAAAUUAAAUUCAAAAUACUUAAAUGAAUAAUUCAAUUUAUAUGUACAAAUCGCCCGUCACUCUCAACAAAAUUGAGAUAAGUCGUAACAAAGUAAGUGUAUUGGAAAAUGUACUUAAAUUUUC